CCCAAAAGAGAACCGGUCUUCCCCUCAUCCCUAUCUCCUUGCUCUCUCCCUCCUCUCUUCCCUUCGUGCGACGCUUUCUGCUUCUGCCUUGCUUUCGUUCUUCUCGGUGUACCGAACUAUUCUGCCCCUUCUCCUUUCAAUUUUCUUCCUUGCAAAACUAUCGAAAUUGCUGCCUCAAUUCCCUGCAAGCUGCCAGGCGUUCCUUGCUCCACGCAUCCGAGCAGCAGCUGAAGCUGCCGCCCCCACGUCCGCGACACCAGCAGCUUCGGUCUUCAUGCCUGCCCUUUCAACCACCGUUUGUUUCCCCUGAGUCAACCGAAGCUCCCCACGCUGACUCACUCCACCGAAUUGAAGCCCACCGACCGGCCCACAGCAAAUGAAGCAGCAUCAUCGCCCCACCGAAGCAAACACCGCUCGAUCUUCUCUCCUACGCCAGCUCAACCUCCACGCCGUCUUCUCCUUUAACGCCAGCAGCUCCGUGUCUCGCGCCUCCACCAUUUCGCUCGACGCCAGUCCAAUGGCUUUCUCACGUCUGGCCCAAAUCGCAGCAGCCCAUCCUCAUGUGUCAGCAGUCCAAGAAGCCAUUUGAAGCCCACGAAGGUGUCAAUAGCCCAAGUUUUGGCCCAGCAGCAAGCCCAAGCCCUUUAGAAGCCCAGCAGAAUCAGAAGCCUGCAAUUUUGAGGCUCAAGCUCACGAAGUCAGCCCGCUUCAGGCCCAGUCCAUUUAAAAGCAAAUCUCAGAUUUGAUUGAGAUUUGUUGGGCCCGUUUUAGGCUUGGCCCAAGGCUGUCGACGCAGCCGAAGAUUCAGAUUUCGGCCACCGUCGCGCCAUCGUCGCGGUGAACUGGUUUUUGCAAUUAACUGGGUGGAACUGAGGCGAGGUAGGUCCUCAAUGCUAAAUGCGUGAUUAUGUGGUUAGGACGCUUCUUAGCGUCUUCCUCUCUUAGUUGAAGUUUAGAGCAUGGACUUGCUGAGACAUUGUCUCACUGGUUAUUGAAUAACCAUUUCAGGGUCAUUGAGCAGAGAACUUGAAGUAGAGAGGAGGUGAUUUGAAGUAUAGGUUGGAUAGGAUCGCUUCUUUUGGAGAACAGUCUUUUGUAGUCUUUUGACCAUAGACUCUUGUACGUGACUCAACAUAUGUUUAUAAAGGUAUGUUUGUUUGUGAAAUUGUUGUUCUGCAUUUUUAUCUCGAGAUAGUUACUGUAAGGGGAUUUAUAAUCCGCUUUCGCAUGUACAAUAAAAUGAAAGGGGUUGGCAA